AGUGAACGCUGGCGGUAGGCCUAACACAUGCCAGUCGAACGGCAGCACAGUAAGAGCUUGCUCUUACGGGUGGCGAGUGGCGGACGGGUGAGGCAUACAUCGGAAUCUACUUUUUCGUGGGGGAUAACGUAGAGAAACUUACGCUAAUACCGCAUACGACCUACGGGUGAAAGCAGGGGAUCUUCGGACCUUGCGCGAUUGAAUGAGCCGAUGUCGGAUUAGCUAGUUGGCGGGGUAAAGGCCCACCAAGGCGACGAUCCGUAGCUGGUCUGAGAGGAUGAUCAGCCACACUGGAACUGAGACACGGUCCAGACUCCUACGGGAGGCAGCAGUGGGGAAUAUUGGACAAUGGGCGCAAGCCUGAUUCAGCCAUACCGCGUGGGUGAAGAAGGCCUUCGGGUUGUAAAGCCCUUUUGUUGGGAAAGAAAAGCAGCAGGUUAAUACCCCGCUGUUCUGACGGUACCCAAAGAAUAAGCACCGGCUAACUUCGUG
rnacentral:rRNA from 1 species